AGUGAACGCUGGCGGUAGGCCUAACACAUGCAAGUCGAACGGCAGCACAGAGGAGCUUGCUCCUUGGGUGGCGAGUGGCGGACGGGUGAGGAAUACAUCGGAAUCUACUCUGUCGUGGGGGAUAACGUAGGGAAACUUACGCUAAUACCGCAUACGACCUACGGGUGAAAGCAGGGGACCUUCGGGCCUUGCGCGAUUGAAUGAGCCGAUGUCGGAUUAGCUAGUUGGCGGGGUAAAGGCCCACCAAGGCGACGAUCCGUAGCUGGUCUGAGAGGAUGAUAAGCCACACUGGAACGGAGACACGGUCCAGACUCCUACGGGAGGCAGCAGUGGGGAAUAUUGGACAAUGGGCGCAAGCCUGAUCCAGCCAUACCGCGUGGGUGAAGAAGGCCUUCGGGUUGUAAAGCCCUUUUGUUGGGAAAGAAAUCCAGCUGGCUAAUACCCGGUUGGGAUGACGGUACCCAAAGAAUAAGCACCGGCUAACUUCGUGCCAGCAGCCGCGGUAA
rnacentral:rRNA from 1 species